AGCGAAGAAUAAAUAAGUAUAUAGUGACUUGUGGUUUGCCAUCUAUGUUCUCCUCUUGGCUUGAUUCUUCGCUUCUUUCAAAUAUAUCUAUGACAUAUUAUUUGAUCUAUUGAAUUCUACACAAUGAAUAUUUGAUAAUAGAAAGGAAAGUGUUAGAUAUUGUUUUCAAGAUUUUGUUUUCUGUUAAUAUUUCGAAGUUAAUUAUCACACUCAAUUUUGGGUUCUAGGGUACAUGUUUAGCACCAAAGCUUGAGAACCAAUUGUAUUUAUGAUAUCUUGACUUUCUCAAUUUUCUAUGCAUAUAGUUUCUUCCAGGUUGAUUUUUAUAAAUGCACCAAAAUCAUCUCAUUAAUCAGGAAUGUGGAAUAAGCUAUGUGGAGGACAUACUACCUUCAAUGACUCAUGAGAUUUGUAUUGUCAAUUUUAUACAACUAGUGGAUGGCUUGGUCUCCAUCAGGUAAGGAACCAAUUGCAUUGCAGCAACAUGCAACAUUAGGAGGUAACACUAUAGAUUGAUUAUGUGUGCAACUUGAUUAAGUGUUAUUAUUUCAGUUUUUUUUAAAUUCAAUUUAGUGUUAUUAUUCAGUUUGAUUUUAAUUCUUAUUCUCUAACAAGAAAAAGAAGAGCUCACCCUAAAGCUCACUAGUCACAACUCACAGGGAGAAUAAUUGACACGAGCACGUAGGAAAUGAAACAGCGAAAAUCUUGUGCACACCAGAAGAAUAAUGAUGAUAUCGAUGAAGAAAUUUAAGAUUUGGAAGCACAAGUUGAAGAGACAAAUGUUGAUACUUAAGUUUUUUAUAAUAGAUGUUACUUGCUAUUGUGAAUAUGUUAUUUUGAUUAAGAAAAUGAUUAUUGAUAUUA